AAGAUUUGACCUUCGGGUCUAUCUCUCUUCAGCUGUGCGCUUAGGCUGCACGCUGUUGAACCUCACACACCUGUGCACAUUUCGGUUGUGGCUGGUUAAUUCUGGUCGCUUCCGCUUUUACAUUUAACUACAAAAGUCUAGAAUGUCAAUUACAAUAAAAAGUAA
rnacentral:misc_RNA from 1 species